UACAGAGGUCUCAAGCGUUGUUCGGAUUCAUUGGGCGUAAAGGGUGCGUAGGCGGCGCGGUAAGUCGGGUGUGAAAUCUCGGAGCUUAACUCCGAAACUGCAUUCGAUACUGCCGUGCUUGAGGACUGGAGAGGAGACUGGAAUUACGGUGUAGCGGUGAAAUGCGUAGAUAUCAGAGGAACACCGGUGGCGAAGGCGGGUCUCUGGGCCGAUACUGACGCUGAGGAGCGAAAGCGUGGGGAGCGAACAGG
rnacentral:rRNA from 1 species